UGAGCAAUAACAGGUCUGUGAUGCCCUUAGAUGUCCGGGGCCGCACGCGCGCUACAAUGACGGUGCCAACGAGUCUGACCUUCUGACCCGAAAGGGUUGGGCAAACUGGUCAAUCACCGUCAUGACAGGGAUCGGGGCUUGGAAUUGUUCCCCGUGAACGAGGAAUUCCUAGUAAGUGCAAGUCAUAAGCUUGCGCUGAUUACGUCCCUGCCCUUUGUACACACCGCCCGUCGCUACUACCGAUUGAAUGGUUUAGUAAGGUCCUUGGAUUGGCGCUAUUGAAGCGGGCUCCGAAAGGUGUUCGCUCGACAGGUGCUGAGAAGACGACCAAACUUGAUCAUUUAGAGGAAGUAAAAGUCGUAACAAGGUUUCCGUAGGUGAACCUGCGGAAGGAUCAUUACACGUUCAAACCCUAUUGACUCCAAACUCUAAUGUUUGGCGGGUAAUGGCAUUUAUGUCAUUGCCACCACUGAAACUAUGACUACUUGACAUAGUAGUCAACCCUCGCGGUGGGGUGCCUAGCCCGUUUAAAACCUGUCAGGUGUGCUCGCAACUUGCAUGUUGCCAGUCCAUGCCGGGGCGACGGGGUAGUACACACAUAUACGUGUGUGCAAGGCUUAAGACAGUAAGGCAUGAGUAUGUGACGACAGCAAUAGCAAUGUCCGUAUUGUCAGUAUCUGUUGUUGCUGUUGUAAGCGCGCUCUGCCUUCACACCCCACCAAAUGUUGUUGUAUUUUACACGGUGUUAAAGUAGGUUUGCUGCAUCUUGACCGAGCGCAUUCCUCGAUGACAUUGUUUCUUGCGCAUGCGCUGCUAACAGUGCUGUUCGUGUGCAGGAGACGUGGUUCACACCUUGUUGGCUGAUUUCACCAUGCCUCGGUGGCGGCCCAAGUUCUUGUGAGCUGUAAUAAGAUGAGCGUUGCUUCGCGGCAGCCCUUGUCGACUGUACAACUUUAUGCGGUGGAUCACUCGGCUCGUGUGUCGAUGAAGAGCGCAGCCAACUGUGUGAAUUAAUGUGAAUCGCAGACUGCUUUGAACAUCGACAUCUUGAACGCACAUUGCGGCCAUAGGCUCGCCUAUGGCCACGUCUGGCCGAGGGUCGGCUUAUAAACUAUCACGACGCUUAAUAAGUCGUGGCUUGGAGGGUUGCCAGCUGACGUAUAAGCCGAUGGGUAUGAUUACCACAUUGGCGUCAGAUUGCGAUGGCUCCUUCUCAAUGUGGCUUUGAUAGCAUAUGUUGCCUUGUGUUGACGCGCAAAGCUUAUGGUGUGAUGCGUGUGCCCGUGCUGCAACCUCUGUGGUGUUAUUCUUGUGUUUUUGGUUGCAGAUACUGGUUCGCAUUGGCCGUGGCUCAGUGUGUGUAUGUGUGUGUAUGCAGCACGCCCUGUGGCCGGUAGAAAUGGUGCACAACGCUACCAAUAAGCUUGUUGACACGUAUAGAGGUGACAAAAUUUCUAUUGCCUGACCUCGGAUCAGUCGUGACUACCCGCUGAACUUAAGCAUAUCACUAAGCGGAGGAAAAGAAACUAACCAGGAUUCCCCUAGUAACGGCGAGUGAAGAGGGAAAAGCCCAGCACCGAAGCCUGCGGCAGUUUUGCUGUUAGGCAAUGUGGUGUUUGGGCCGGCUCGUGGGAUUGCCACUCCACUCGAAGUCCAGCAUUGAGUAUGGUCCCCUGGAUUUGGCCCAGAGAGGGUGAAAGGCCCGUGCGAGUGGAUGUUUCAUGUAAGGCAAUUCACCAGGCCGGCCUUAGAGUCGGGUUGUUUGAGAAUGCAGCCCUAAGUGGGUGGUAAACUCCAUCCAAGGCUAAAUACAAGCACGAGUCCGAUAGCGAACAAGUACCGUGAGGGAAAGUUGAAAAGUACUU
rnacentral:rRNA from 1 species